rnacentral:rRNA from 1 species
AUUGAACGCUGGCGGCAGGCUUAACACAUGCAAGUCGAACGAGUGGCGGACGGGUGAGUAAUGCUUGGGACUCUGGCUUAUGGAUGGGGAUAACGACGGGAAACUGUCGCUAAUAACGCGUACCCUAGGAUGAGCACACGUGGGAUUAGGUAGUUGGUGGGUGAAAGGCUUACAAAGCCGACGAUCUCUAGCUGGUGUGAGAGGAUGAACAGCAAAACGGGGACUGAGACACGGCCCGGACGCCUACGGGAGGCAGAAGUGGGGAAUAUUGCGCAAAGGGGGCAAGCUGAUGCAGCCAUGCCGCGUGUAUGAAGAAGGCCUUCGGGUUGUAAAGUACUUUCGGUGGCGAGGCGUUAAUCACAGAAGAAGCACCGGCUAACUCCGUGCCAGCAGCCGCGGUAAUUC